rnacentral:rRNA from 1 species
UGAAAUGACUGCUAAUACCGCAUAAGCGCACGAGAUCGCAUGAUAAAGUGUGAAAAACUCCGGUGGUAUGAGAUGGACCCGCGUCUGAUUAGCUGGUUGGCGGGGUAACGGCCCACCAAGGCGACGAUCAGUAGCCGGCCUGAGAGGGUGAACGGCCACAUUGGGACUGAGACACGGCCCAAACUCCUACGGAAGGCAGCAG